UCACUGCUGUCGUGCGCAGCGAGCUAUAUAAGACCAGGUACAGCGGCACAAGCCGCUUUCGUGUCGAGAAUGGAUAAGUAGGAGUGUGAAGCGUGGAAAGCCGCAGCAAACAUUACAUGAAGUGAGAUGACAUGCCAUGUUCACUUCACCACCUACACAUCUCUAUCAACCCCAGGAUGUGUUAAUGUUCAAUUGAAAUCUUAAAAUUUCGCCAACAUCAGACUUCAGUAUUAAAGCCAUGAAUGACAUGUGCCAGGCAGUCAUGUGCUAUUGCAAAUAUCAUCUUUGCAGUUCAUCUUAGUAACAAAGACUGAAUCAACUGUUUUCUCCAGGGAUACUGGUUUGAGAUGGUCGGCUCCAGUAGAAAAUAAAAAAUUUGUCAAAUCAAAAUUAUAUUUCACCAUGUUUGAUGUAUAAACAUACGAAACAGUGUAGAGUGUGCAUACUAGGGGAGAGCUCUUGUGCUAUUGACUCUCUUAGGGUAGCACCCCAACCCGAUAAAUGUAUUUAAGAAAACUAUAAGCUAUAAAAAUAUAUGCUAUAUGUAUUUGUAGAUGGUGUUGUACAUAAAUUGUGCCGUGAAAGAACUGUGACCAAGAAGAAAACUGUGUAUGAAUAAAAGAACUGUGCAAGAAGACUAAUAUGUGAAGAAAGAACUGUGCUAAGAAGAAAACUGUGUGUGAAUAAAAGAACUGUGCUAAGAAGAAAACUGUGUGUGAAUAAAAGAACUGUGCAAGAAGACUAAUAUGUGAAGAAAGAACUGUGCCUCUCUUAAAGCUGAAUGUGAGAAAUUUGUUACAUAAUGAACUACAUGCUCUCUUGCUUCUUAAGAGGGGGGAGGGGCCAGUCAGAUGAGUCACACAGCAGAGAUCUUAGUGUGAACCAUCUGCACCUGUUAUGAGGCGGGGACAACUGUCCCAACUUCCUGUAGUACAGUUCUUAAUGUAAAAACAUAACAACAAAGGAAUUCACAGUUCUCACUUACGAUAAUUAUUUUAUUGUACUCCCACUCCCACUCCCACUCCCACUCCUACUCCUGCUCCCACUACCUUACUUCCCUUUCUGCCAGUCAACUGGACUGCAGUGGGUGAGGAUGCUAUCUUAAGUAGACUUUACACAGCACAUGUAGCACUCCCCUUGCUUGGGGAAGUUCCUCAUUAAAACCCCCAUUGUAUCUUUAUUUUGUCAAAUCAUGAUAACACAGUGUGCCUGGAAAACAGUUUAUAUAUUUGUGUGUUUCAAAUUUUCUGUGUAUGUAAAGUGAACAUAUUGGUAAAAAGAAAUUUUAAUAUUUGAAAUAGUCUCAACUUGUAGCUGGACAAUAUCUUUCACUUCAUGUAAUGUUUGUUGUAGUAAUAAAAAAUGGGGUUUCAAAUGGAA